UUAAUUCAUGCACCAACAUAAA
rnacentral:snRNA from 1 species